GACGAACGCUGGCGGCGUGCUUAACACAUGCAAGUCGAACGGAAAGGCCCUGCUUUUGUGGGGUGCUCGAGUGGCGAACGGGUGAGUAACACGUGAGUAACCUGCCCUUGACUUUGUGAUAACUUCAGGAAACUGGGGCUAAUACCGGAUAGGAGCUCCUGCUGCAUGGUGGGGGUUGGAAAGUUUCGGCGGUUGGGGGUGGACUCGCGGCUUAUCAGCUUGUUGGUGGGGUAGUGGCUUACCAAGGCUUUGACGGGUAGCCGGCCUGAGAGGGUGACCGGCCACAUUGGGACUGAGAUACGGCCCAGACUCCUACGGGAGGCAGCAGUGGGGAAUAUUGCACAAUGGGCGGAAGCCUGAUGCAGCAACGCCGCGUGCGGGAUGACGGCCUUCGGGUUGUAAACCGCUUUCGCCUGUGACGAAGCGUGAGUGACGGUAAUGGGUAAAGAAGCACCGGCUAACUACGUG
rnacentral:rRNA from 1 species